rnacentral:lncRNA from 1 species
GCAUUGGGGCGUUCCAAAUGGCCAGACAGAAAGUCCUGCUUUCUGUUUUGGUCUCAGGGUCUCAGAGGGCCGUCCCAUGGGGCAUCCCAAUUAUAUGGGGCAUCCCAGGUGGGUCGUCUCACAGUGUGUCAUGAUCCAAAACACUGCGUGCUGGCUGCCAACAGAAGGGGAUGAUCCAGAUGGGUCGUCCCAUCAUGUUCUAAUCCAGUUUUUCAUACAUUUAAGGUUCGAAAUUUAUCAGAACUUAUCCAAACGCUCUCAAAUGAAUUCAAAUCAGUUUGGACACUCUCAAAAGCCUUCAAAACUUCACCAACUUGCUGAAAUUUUAACUUUUGGUAUAUUUGAUGAAGCUUUUCAAACCUAAUCUCUUGGACUACUUGAAAUAUUAUAAAAAUAAUUUUUAAACAUAGCAAACUCAUUAGUAGUCCCCUCAAAUAGUUUGUGAUCAUCAAAAUUAAUUCUUGUAGCAACACUUAUUCCUUUAAACAAGGCGAGGUGGCUGAGGCGUCGCUUAAGCACUUGAGGCGCGCGCCUGACCUAAACUCCAAAAGCGCAUCUGAGGCGGUGGCUAUUAGUCUCAAGAGGGAAACAAGGCGACGUUUUGCGAAGUCAGAUAGAUGCAAAGAAGGAAAAAAAAGGUGAAACCCAGUCAUGAUCGCUGAUCGAAGAUCCACAUCCAUUAGAGCACUGCCCCA